GUGCCUUGCAUCAGCAGCACAUAUGCUAAAGUUAGAAUGUAACAGAGGUUAACAUAGUACCUAUGCAAGGAUGAAAUGCAAAUUCACGAAGAAUUCUUUAUUAUA